rnacentral:rRNA from 1 species
GAUGAACGCUAGCUACAGGCUUAACACAUGCAAGUCGAGGGGCAGCAUUUCAGUUUGCUUGCAAACUGGAGAUGGCGACCGGCGCACGGGUGAGUAACACGUAUCCAACCUGCCGAUAACUCGGGGAUAGCCUUUCGAAAGAAAGAUUAAUACCCGAUGGUAUAAUCAGACCGCAUGGUCUUGUUAUUAAAGAAUUUCGGUUAUCGAUGGGGAUGCGUUCCAUUAGGCAGUUGGUGAGGUAACGGCUCACCAAACCUUCGAUGGAUAGGGGUUCUGAGAGGAAGGUCCCCCACAUUGGAACUGAGACACGGUCCAAACUCCUACGGGAGGCAGCAGUGAGGAAUAUUGGUCAAUGGGCGCAGGCCUGAACCAGCCAAGUAGCGUGAAGGAUGACUGCCCUAUGGGUUGUAAACUUCUUUUAUAUGGGAAUAAAGUUUUCCACGUGUGGAAUUUUGUAUGUACCAUAUGAAUAAGGAUCGGCUAACUCCGUGCCAGCAGCCGCGGUAAUACGGAGGAUCCGAGCGUUAUCCGGAUUUAUUGGGUUUAAAGGGAGCGUAGGUGGACAGUUAAGUCAGUUGUGAAAGUUUGCGGCUCAACCGUAAAAUUGCAGUUGAUACUGGCUGUCUUGAGUACAGUAGAGGUGGGCGGAAUUCGUGGUGUAGCGGUGAAAUGCUUAGAUAUCACGAAGAACUCCGAUUGCGAAGGCAGCUCACUGGACUGCAACUGACACUGAUGCUCGAAAGUGUGGGUAUCAAACAGGAUUAGAUACCCUGGUAGUCCACACAGUAAACGAUGAAUACUCGCUGUUUGCGAUAUACAGUAAGCGGCCAAGCGAAAGCAUUAAGUAUUCCACCUGGGGAGUACGCCGGCAACGGUGAAACUCAAAGGAAUUGACGGGGGCCCGCACAAGCGGAGGAACAUGUGGUUUAAUUCGAUGAUACGCGAGGAACCUUACCCGGGCUUAAAUUGCAUUUGAAUAUAUUGGAAACAGUAUAGCCGUAAGGCAAAUGUGAAGGUGCUGCAUGGUUGUCGUCAGCUCGUGCCGUGAGGUGUCGGCUUAAGUGCCAUAACGAGCGCAACCCUUAUCUUUAGUUACUAACAGGUCAUGCUGAGGACUCUAGAGAGACUGCCGUCGUAAGAUGUGAGGAAGGUGGGGAUGACGUCAAAUCAGCACGGCCCUUACGUCCGGGGCUACACACGUGUUACAAUGGGGGGUACAGAAGGCAGCUACCUGGUGACAGGAUGCUAAUCCCAAAAGCCUCUCUCAGUUCGGAUCGAAGUCUGCAACCCGACUUCGUGAAGCUGGAUUCGCUAGUAAUCGCGCAUUCAGCCAUGGCGCGGUGAAUACGUUCCCGGGCC